AGACCCGAAACCCGGUGAUCUAGCCAUGGGCAGGUUGAAGGUUGGGUAACACUAACUGGAGGACCGAACCGACUAAUGUUGAAAAAUUAGCGGAUGACCUGUGGCUGGGGGUGAAAGGCCAAUCAAACCGGGAGAUAGCUGGUUCUCCCCGAAAGCUAUUUAGGUAGCGCCUCGUGAAUUCAUCUCCGGGGGUAGAGCACUGUUUCGGCUAGGGGGCCAUCCCGGCUUACCAACCCGAUGCAAACUGCGAAUACCGGAGAAUGUUAUCACGGGAGACACACGGCGGGUGCUAACGUCCGUCGUGAAGAGGGAAACAACCCAGACCGCCAGCUAAGGUCCCAAAGUCAUGGUUAAGUGGGAAACGAUGUGGGAAGGCCCAGACAGCCAGGAUGUUGGCUUAGAAGCAGCCAUCAUUUAAAGAAAGCGUAAUAGCUCACUGGUCGAGUCGGCCUGCGCGGAAGAUGUAACGGGGCUAAACCAUGCACCGAAGCUGCGGCAGCGACACUCAGGUGUUGUUGGGUAGGGGAGCGUUCUGUAAGCCUGUGAAGGUGGCCUGUGAGGGUUGCUGGAGG
rnacentral:rRNA from 2 species